UCCUCCAUCAAUUGUUAGCCCUAACUGGUCCCCCAUCUUCAACUCCAAGUUACAACCAGCAGCCACCAACCAUCACUGACCCGAAGAACCACUGGUAGCCUCCAGCCUCUUCUUUGUUUGUCCCUUUCUCUAUCUCUCUCUCUCUCUUCAAUUAUUAAGCCUUAGUUCUGGUGUUUUUUCUUCUUUCUUUUGUGGAGCCCUAAAUCUUGAACGAACAAAGAGGAAAAGUUCGCACCAAGCACGAUCAGAAAGCCCACUUCAUCAGUUCGCAUCAACUCCACGAAUUUCAGCCUUCAAGGAUAUUACUGAAGAUGUUUUGGGCUGUGAUAUCAAUAAAAAAAGAAUCUUCAAGUCAGUGCUCUAAUUAUGCCAAUACUCAAGCAUAAGGCCGGAUUGUUGAGCACCAAAAAUUGAUAUAUUUGCUUUGGAAUUUGGACAUUGUGUCAUUGACAAAUACAUUUGGAGCAUAAUGAUAGUUAUCUCUUUUUUUCCUUUGUUUUUGCAUGUAUUAUGGUAACAAUUUGAGACUAUUUGUAUGGUUGUAAUGCUAUUUAUUUUAUUUUAUAUUGGUGUAGUAUUAUUAUUAGUUGUGGACCUUGAAAUGUUAAUAUUGGUAUAUUGAAACUUUUUUUUU